UACGGGGGGGGCUAGCGUUGUUCGGAAUUACUGGGCGUAAAGGGCGCGUAGGCGGUCUGCUAAGUUGGAUGUGAAAACUCCGGGCUUAACCCAGAGCCUGCAUUCAAUACUGACAGGCUAGAGUUCUGGAGGGGAUAGCGGAAUUCCUGGUGUAGCGGUGAAAUGCGUAGAUAUCAGGAGGAACACCGGUGGCGAAGGCGGCUAUCUGGACAGAGUCUGACGCUGAGGCGCGAAAGCUAGGGGAGCAAACAGG
rnacentral:rRNA from 1 species